UACAGAGGGUGCGGGCGUUGUCCGGAAUCACUGGGCGUAAAGGGCGCGUAGGCGGUGACUUAAGCGUGUGGUGAAAGCUCGGGGCUCAACCCCGAGUCGGCCGUGCGAACUGGGUCACUGGAGCAGAUCAGAGGCAGGCGGAAUUCCGGGUGUAGCGGUGGAAUGCGUAGAGAUCCGGAAGAACACCGGUGGCGAAGGCGGCCUGCUGGGAUCUUGCUGACGCUGAGGCGCGACAGCGUGGGGAGCAAACAGG
rnacentral:rRNA from 1 species